UCCACCGGGGACACCUGCUGCGGUCUCACAGCGCUACCACUUCACUGGGUCGUUCCGUGGCGCUAGCAGCACUGCAAAACAGGAUCCGCCUGGGCGCGCGCUUCACUGGGUACCAUCGGCUGUGGUAACAUGGAAACGCCGCAAAGCAAAACUUUUUGGCCUCGCUGACAACUGCUGGGUCGCUCCGGGGGGCUACCAGCACUGCAAAAAAGGAUCCACCUGGGCGCGCUCAGCAGGAGCCAUCACAACAAAGAAACGCCGUUCGCCGGCUGCCUUGCUGCCUCCGUGUUCCCAGAAAGCUGCUGUGUAUGUCCCUGACGUCGCGCUGCACCUGACGUCAUCAUCGUACCCUCGCCGUGUCGUGGAUGUGCCGGGCGGUCAACGCCUGGACGACCCUACCUCCCUUGCGGAUAGCAGCGGCAGCUUGCUCCUCGAUUCAUCGGCCCGCGUCUCGCAUACUCCGCCAGACAGGAUUUAUGUCACAAUCCACAGGCCAAUCAGCGACAGACCAAGUUCCACGACGACAUGGCUUACGGCUACAAAAGCGACCCCGGCAGUUCCCUUCUUCAGCGGGCGAGGCAGCACCCACUUCCACUCUGUCUUUAUGACUGAUAAUUCCUUAAUCCCUGUUUUUGAUUCUGAACCAUAUCCUCCAAUUGGAGAUUUAUCAAUGUCUCCUCAUGGUGUACUUCAUCCUAAGCUUAGACGCCAAGAAGUCGUGUGUUCCUGACGGUGUCCCAACUGUGUUCCUCGUUCGAUACUCUCUUUGGUGCAUCAGACAUCUAAAAAUUAUUUUUAGUAAAUCUCUCUCAGCCGCCACCUUC